rfam:Picea glauca, whole genome shotgun sequence.
AUGUACAUUCCUACAACAUUAAUUCACUGGAUAUCAUUAGAACUCCAUAAUUAAGCGCACUUGGGCUAGAGUAGUACUGGGAUGGGUGACCUGCCGGGAAGUCUUAGUGUUUUACAUG